CGCUCAAGUUACUAGCAUAACCAGUAUCGUCGGAUAGUACUUCUUCGUCAGAUGAAGUUACGAGCGAUAAGACAUGGAUCGAGUAAAAGAAUAUAUAUCUCGAAAAUUGAUCGAGCUUAAGGAGUACCAUCCCUUGUCACGAGGUCCGUCAAGUCCAUCAAAUCCAUCGAGGGAAAAAAUGAAAUAUUGGGAAUGUCUUGGCGAAAAAGCAUCAACGUCAUUAACGCUAUCAAAGUAUAAACCAUAAGAAAGCGCUGCUAGUCAUAUCCGAGUCACCGAUCACAUUCGAACGUUCCAAUUGCGAAAAA